GGCAGGCAGUGGCGGCUUUAAAUCCGCUUUCUUCUCUAAUCUCCCAUCCUAUCCCUUUAAACAUCUCCAUUUUUAUAUUAUACUGAAAAUACAUUAUUUCAAUAUUUGUUAAAAGGGACACGAGGUUCUAUACUUACAACUUACGUACAAAUCUAAGGAAGAUUAUGAAAGAAAGGGAUGAAUUUGCUUUUUAAUCUUAAGGAAUGGAAUCCAAAUAUAAAACUUCAAAUGUAAUAACGCUCGCGAUACUCCUUUCAUCUGGCUCAGUUCGAUCGUCGUUACAUAUCUGUGACAAUAUUUAAUAUCGCAAAGAGAUAAUAACAGUAGAUAAGAUAAUCCGUUUUUUUCCUUGUGACAAAAUGCAAAAAAAAAAGGUAGUACUCUAAUCUCCGACAAACGAAAGAUAUUCGCGAAGGAACACGUACGCGCCUGUAUAUAAAAUAAAAUCUAUGAAGCAAGUAAUCGAUUGUGGGCAAACGGCACGACAUUUCUCGACGCUAUUUCCACCUCGCCGCUGAGUGAUAACAUUAUGAAUGAAGACAAAAGCUGUUCAUCAAUAAUCCCGCACGUUUAAACAAAUCGUGAAACGCCUCUCUAUUUACUCGCAGAUCUUUCUCUCGUUCAAAAUAUUCAUCGUACGAUCAAUUUAACUAAUUCGGAUCCAAUGGCUCCUCGCGAUAAGUAGACGAAAUUUUGUAUUGUACGCUGGUUUGAAUGAACGCUGCGCUCUUGGAACGGACACGGAGGCUUAACGAGACGAAAAGACACUUCUGCGGCUGUUGCUCGCGGCUGUCGAGUUCUUAUUCGCCGUCCGGACGCAAACAAGGCCGCCGUCGUCGUCCUUAUUCCUCGUGAAUCGCGACCGGCUGGUGACAGAGUGACAAAUCAGCGAAGGAUCCUUGCAGGAUCAUUUUAAUUGAACAUCUUGAACAUUCUAACUGCCAAUGAUGGAGCAAUUUAAAUAUUCGAGGGACAAAUUGCAGCGUU